CCCUUAGACGUUCUGGGCCGCACGCGCGCUACACUGACAAAGGCAACGAGCUACUCUUCACCGAAAGGUGUGGGUAAUCUUUUGAAACUUUGUCGUGCUGGGGAUAGAUCCUUGCAAUUUUUGAUCUUAAACGAGGAAUUCCUAGUAAGCGCAAGUCAUCAACCUGCGUUGAUUACGUCCCUGCCCUUUGUACACACCGCCCGUCGCUACUACCGAUUGAAUGGUUUAGUGAGGCCUUCGGAUCCGCGACUCGUUUGUGGAGAAGUUGGACAAACUCAGUCAUUUAGAGGAAGUAAAAGUCGUAACA
rnacentral:rRNA from 1 species